rnacentral:ncRNA from 1 species
GAGAGCACAAUACGAUGAAAUGUGUGAGUUGUGUUCGGGGGGGGGAGUUAUUGUCUAUCGUUGGCCUCUAUGGUAGAAUCAAUUGGGGAGGCCUGAGAGACGGUGGUUUACCUUAU